GGGCGUUUGGUAUGAGGUGUUCAAAAUAAUUUGAUUAUAGGGAAUAUUAUGAAGGAGAAUAUAAUUAUAGGAAAAUGUGUAAACCGUGUUUGGCUGUGUAGGGUAAUAUGAAUCAUAUUACUGUUAAUUAAAUUACACUGUUUGGUUAAGUACAGAAAUCUUAUAUAUAUAUAUUAUUUUAAAAAAUUAAAAUAAAAAUAUUUUCUUAUUAUAUCUAUUUGAUGUUAAUUGUAUAUAAAAAUAAAAUAGUUAUUUAUUAAAAAAAUAUAUUUAUUGAUUAGUAAACAUUAAAUUUUAUUAUAUUUUUUAUUAAUUAAAAUAAAUAUUUUUAUAUAUUUUAUCACUAUAUUAUUUAUUUUUGUUCGAUAUGUUAUUUAUGUACACCAUCCGCAUAAAAUUUUUUAUAAUAAAUAUAUAUGUUAUUGCUAAUAAUAUAAAAUAACUCAUUAAAAACAGUGUGUUUUAUUUGCCUGGAAAAUCAACAUCUUCUAGCUUACCUUGGUGAAGCCCUAGCAGUCCCUAUCUCUUCAUCCUUCUUUUGUUGAACCAGCUCUAAACUAAGGGAAGAGGUACUUUAUGGAAUGCCCAUUAUGUUUUCUUUCUUUCUAAAUGCAAGGAAUCGAGCUUGAGCUUGAGAGAAUGAGAAGUGGUUUUGGUUUAUGAUGUUGAGUAGUAUUGGGUUUAGAGGUGUAUAUAUAUAAUAGUGUAUAAAUGGCUCAUCUAGUUAUUCCAAAAGUUGAAACACAAUAUUGUACUGGAUGGCUGCUGUUUUAGAGUGUUUUUCAUAAUUGUUUUAAGUAUGUGGUUGGUGAUAAUAUGCCGUUUGAUAAAUGGGGUGUCCACUAUUUCAUUAAGAAAGAAUACUUAUUUUUUGGGCUCAAACUAUGUGUAUUUAUGUGUUUGUUCUGUUAGUUUUUUGAGUUUAACAUGCUGUAACCACCAUUUAUCAUUAUUAUUUUUUGUGAUUUUUCUUUUUUACAUACUUUUUACUUUACAUAGUUGGCAAUGCAUAUCAGUGAGUUACUAUUUCAAAACUUGAUGCAAUAUGAAUUUUCGUAAAUUUGUAUCAGUUUUUGGUACGAUGGUUGUGUCACCAUUAUCAAUUAAACCAUUUUUUUUCUGCAGUUUUAAAAUACAGCAGUGGAAAAGAAAAAACAAACGGGAGAGUCGAGGUGAAGAUAUUAUAUUACCGUACAUAUAGCUCAUUACCAAUAUUUUUAAUUUAUACAAAUCAUCCAUAUUAAUAUCUUUAUAUAUUAAAAGUGUCUAUCUAACGGCAUUUCUUGGUUUAACAGAAUAUACUUAAAAAUAAAAAAAUAUUCUGUUAAAUUUAACGAUUAGGUUUGAUCUCCCGUUAACAAAUAAACCCAAUAAUUAAACCAAAAAAUUAAACAAUCUUUUAAAUAUUAAUAAUCUCUUUUUAAAUUAAAAAAAUCAUCUUAGCCACAUAUCUCUCUAACAAACCUAUCUUGGGAGAAUAUUAAUAAUUUUUUUUAUUUAUUUUUUAAAAAAGAAAAAUCUUUAUAUAUUAAAGUUAACCUCACUUAUCUAAUGUUUUCUCUAGAUAAGCAUAGGAAGCAGAAAUACCACUUCUAUCUUUGUGUGAUUGCAGAUAUACCACUUCUGUCAUUGACCCAUUUUUUAGCUUUAUAAAUGGAGAUGUUCAUAUAAUAUUAACACUUUACAGAAUAUUUAUAGAUAUAAACUUACAUUACAAUAAUAAAUUAAAGGACAAAAUCCAUUACAUUACAUCCUACUAAGCAUGUUCUUAUAGAAUAAUCUACUACUCCAAUAAUAAAUUUAUUUACAAUUUUAUAAUUACACUAAUAUUAUUUUUAAUACAUUAUUAAAUAAUAUUUCAAAUAUAAAUAUUUAAUUUUUUCAAACAAAAAAUUUGUAAUGUUUAAAAAUAAAAUACAUUUAAAAUCUUAAAAAGACCAAAAUCUUAAAUGAAACUAGCAAUACGUGGCUCGACACGUACAUUCACCUAGUAUAUCUAUAUAUAUAUAUAUAAUCCUGUUGUUAGGGAUGGUGAUGUGGCAGCACCAAUAAUCUUCUUUCUCUAUUCUUUGAUUUCUCAUUUUUCUUAAUUUUUAAACUUUUGUUAAUAUUUUUUUAUAUUCAAUACAAACAUUAACUUAUAAUAAUCUAAUAAUAAUAGUUUUAUUUUAUUAUUAUUAUAUUAAAUGAAACAAAUUUGUAACAGUCAAAAGAAAGCAUCAAGAAAGGAAAAUAAAUGCUUCUAUGACUUUUUCAAUCUCAUUCAUUGCUUUCUUAAACUUUUCACAUUUUACAUUUAUUUGUUUUUAAUUAUUUUUAUUUAAUAAUAACAACAAUAAUAAUAAUAUUGCUUUGCUGCAACUUUUAUUUUUCAUCCCUCACCAUUAAAAUAAGUUGUUGAUGUACAUUCUAUAAAUUUUUAAAUAUCUUAUAUAAUGAAAAUUACAAUGUUAAAAUCAUUAAACUGUUAUAAAAUAAUAUAAAAUAAUAUAAAGUAGAUGAGAAGAAAGAAGAAGAAGAUGAAGAGAGAAAGAGAAAGUGAAUGAGAAUUUCUGAGUUGUUUAUUCCAAUGGGGUGAACCCCUAUUUAUACAAAUACAAGAAUGAGAUAUUAAGAAACUAAGAAAAAGGGAAACUAAGGAAAAGAGGAAUGUUGAUUACAAUUAAUGACAAUAAAUAAAAGAUUUGGACAUCCACAUAAUUAAUAAUAUUUAUAACACUCCCCCUUGGAUGUCCAUAAUAGCUGCCUUAUUAAAAAUCUUGCUGAAAACUUGGUCAAAGGAAAAAGAGUAUAGUGUAAACUAACUCCCUCCCCCUCAUUUAGGCAUUUGUGGAGAUCUUCUAAUCGACGAAUUUCGAUCUUGUCUGCCGUCUUCUCAAAUGUUGAUGUUGGUAAUAACUUUGUGAAUAAGUUUGUAAGAUUGACACUUGAUUGAAUAUGUUGAACACCAAUAUGCAUUUUCUUGAAGCGUAUAAAGAAGAAUUUCGUGAAAUGUGUUCUAACUCUAUCUCCUUCAAUGUACCUCCUUUUAGUUGAACGAUGCAAGCAGUAUUAUCCAUAGAGAAUUGCUUGGGUUGAUACUUCUUUAUUGAGUGCAAUUCAUAUGUUUCCCGAA